CAACAGCGAAAGGAGGUGAUCCAGUGUCUCAUUGUCAUACCCUACGGUCCCCGGUUGCCGUGACCUGGAUCUUGGCCUCUGCCGAGAUCGGUGCGUAACGCACGCGCAUCGUAGCGGAAAAGUGGAAUCCGAUUUUCGCUAGCGCGGCCCGCUGGGUCCGCACCCAACGAUGCGUCCUUGAAGAAGGGGCAUCGAAUGGAUCCCAAAAGCGGGGUCCACUUUUGGGUCCGAUGCCUAUGGCCGGCGUUCAGCGGGCCGUGGAACCGACAAUGGAAAGGCCGCCUCCCAGGGCGGCCUU
rnacentral:sRNA from 1 species